GCCAGCAGGUGCUCGCGCCGCCGUAGCUGCUCUGCCUGUGACCGCUGCUCACGCGCCGCGCGGGUCAGCUCCUCCUCGCGGCUCAGAAGUUCCUGCGCCCGGGACAAGGAAGGUGGUGGGAUCAGCCCAAAAAGGAAACGGAGCAGAGAAACCACUUAGUCAAGACCAUAUGCAAAUAAAGAACAGCGUCCAACCUAGUCUGUGCGGUUCUCAAACCAGCGUUCCGACUUUUCCCUAAUGCUGCAUUGGACAGAAACCCAUGUCUUGCCAUGGUGCUGAGACAGGAGUGUGAAUUAGAACCCCCGUUCGUGUGAGGACCAGGAGGGAACCCCUUGGUGAGAAAGGAAACCCAGCAGGCACUGCAGGCCCCCGGUGCCCAUGUCUCUCGUCUUGGCUAGUGCAGCCACUCUCCGUGAGGACAGAAAGACUCCCAACAAAAGAUAUCUACUGAUGCGGCCGGACAUGAAGAAAACGGGGAGUCUGAGAAGUGAAGGUCCUUGGCCAGAAAGGAGGAGCUUGGGACAAACACGGGAGUGGAUGGUCAGAUUUGGCAGGGGUUCCUGGUGUUGACCCCAAUGGGGCCACCAUAGUCUGUAGACAGAGGAGAAGCAGCAACUUGCAAAUCUCUCAUCGGGACAAACGUGGCUCAGAUGAGAGGUUUUGAGGAACAGAAAGAGGAUAAAGUCAUAGAAUCAUCAAGGGUUUGAAGGGGGCCUCUCACUCUGCUAGUUAUUGUAGAGAAGUGACAUCCAAGCCAAUUACCUUUCUGAACAUACGUCAUUUCAGGGCACACCAACCACUCAGCCCUGCUGUCCAGGGUGAAAGCACCAUUACGGGGGCAGCUCAGGGUACUGAGGGCAGAGGGGAUGGGCACCUAACCCAGCCUGGCAAAAGGGAGGACUUCUUGGAGGAGGUGGCAGAACCAGGGUAUUCACUUUUCCAGGCUUGAAACCAUAACCCCGGCUCCUGCUGCUGGCCAAGCUUUCUGGGCCUUGCGGCCGCAUCUGGCACUGCCGUCCCCCCCCCCCCCCCCCCCAGCUGUCUUUGAUUCUGGGGCCUCUGGCUGCUUGUGCUAUUUCCUUAGGGCCUCCCCUCCCCUCAGCCUUUUCGGUGCCAGUGCUCCUCAGAGCCUGGCCUCUCCUCAACCUCUGCCCACUGCCCCCAGGCUGUCUUGGCCUCUCCCAAGUGCCAGCUGCCCCCUCCCUGUUGGACUCUCCCACAUUUGAAGCUCUAGGCCAGAAGCCAAUUCAGCUGCCCAUCACCGCCCCGUCUGAUGUCCAAAUGCCCUCAACAACCACCUCCUGAAUCCCACCGCACACAGCAAAUCUCCCUGCAAUUUCUCC